rnacentral:lncRNA from 1 species
GUCCGAGGAGAGAGGACACGCGUCGGAGACCCAGAGGGUCCUCUCCUCGCUAGAUUCCUGGAAGCCGCAAGCACGGACCGUGAAGGUCACCGACGGUUCCGAACCAGGUCUCGAGGUCCGGUCUGCUCCAAUCCGGAUCGCGCGAGCUGCUCCGCCGCGACCCGUCUUGGAACUCGCGAGCUCGAAGACCUGCGGUGAGUCCGAGUCCGGCUCGGUCCAUGCUGCCGAGUCGGGCAACGCGCAAAUCCACGACCAAACGUCCAACAUCUUUGCUAACCGAUUCCACCUGUCCG